GCUCAAUGCCCGGUGCGUGGAGAAUACGUGACCAAUGGCUGUCAACAUAUGAUGAUCUUGCUCCCAAGGGACAUCUGGCAGCACCAGGACACAUCACGGGGUUGUCAUGAUGAGCAGGGCCCAGGCCUGGGUACCACCGAGGACCCCUUCCCGGAUCUGCCGCGUGCAGCCAGGAGCACCCUGGCUC